GCAUAGUUGAGUGUGUGCCGCCCAUGUGAUUGACAUAGCGAACUGUUGAGAUGUUGUCCAUGCGCAGUCUGAUGCACGCACUGGCGGUCCCAUUCACAAAGCUCCAGAUCGCGAAGGAGCUGGCCAGGAGUUCAACAUGGCAUUGAUGUGGAGCCGGGAUUCGGCCUCUGACCAGCGACCCCAACCGUGGAGACUUGUGUCCGAAUCCACCGUGAAUUCCGGUUGUGAACCGAAGAUGGUCUUGCCAUUCCAAGCGGAUAGGUUUUGGAUCCACCAGAUCAGUUUGUCUCG